UACGUAGGUGGCAAGCGUUGUCCGGAUUUACUGGGUGUAAAGGGCGUGUAGCCGGGCUUACAAGUCAGAUGUGAAAUCCGGGGGCUCAACCCCCGAACUGCAUUUGAAACUGUAGGUCUUGAGUAUCGGAGAGGCAAGCGGAAUUCCUAGUGUAGCGGUGAAAUGCGUAGAUAUUAGGAAGAACACCAGUGGCGAAAGCGGCUCUCUGGUCUGUAACUGACGCUGAGGUUCGAAAGCGUGGGUAGCAAACAGG
rnacentral:rRNA from 1 species